UGAUGCCCUCUAUAAGUCGUACACUGUGUCGUUCUCCCGUCCCUCCUUCCUCAAACGGCCGGUAGGAGAGCGACAGGGCCCGCCCGAGCCGACCUGGGCGGUGGCAGCCCGCCCAUGAUCACAAGUGUUCCUUCUCUCUUGGCGACUACUACCCUGCUACGAACGCAGCCCGGCCCGGCCCAGCGCUCAGCGCAGCCGCUGUCAGUGAGACGCUCUCAGCUGCUCUGUGUUGACCUCCGCGGUCCUCCGCGACUUGACGUGUUCGACAAGAACUCUCCAGUACAAGUGAUGCUGGUCGCCGUCCUCGGCCCGCGCACACUGCCGUGCGCUGCCCCGGCUGGAGUACCCGAGCCCAUCCAGCCGACACGGUCAAGCAUACCGAUCAUCCUGCUUCUGUUCGACUGGUAUUUGAGGGACAAGACUUGGCCGUGCCUUCCUCUGCAUAAGUGGAAGCCGGGUCGCCGUGCAAGAGGAGCAGCUCUGGUGUGGGCGAGCCACUCUACCGCCGCGGGACCCGCUGUGCCGUGAGCAGUUCAGCCAGCGGCAACUCAAGGUAACCACCGUCAUCAGAGGUUAGAGUCAGAUAGGGCCUUUGGCAGCUGGGGGUUAGGGGUCAGGGGUUAGGUUCCCACUCCCACUUAGCGUCCUUCACACUAACACAUCCACAACACACUCCACCACAUGACCGGUGCGACAGUCGUGGCGUAAAGAACGGGACGGAACGGGACUAAAGCGAAAGUCGCGACGGCGCGACCGUGGUUGUUGUAAAGCUCAUCGUUUUUUGGAAGAGACUAAACAAAGUUGAAGAUGUUGACGCCAUGGCUUGUCGGUAAUCAGCCCCAUUUUCCUGUUUUGCCGUUUGACUUCGGAUUGUUUCCCCUCUCAUGAUAGUUUUGUUCGCAGGAUAUGCACUAGCUCGCCGGAGCGGACAGCAGGCAGCUGCUCGCCCUGUACUGCUGCUGGCUUGCGCGACGAGGAUAAGACUAAGUUUGUGUAGUGGGGGAUGAAGUCGCAGCGUAUUUGAUUAUUUGUCAGGCGUGCUCCCGUGACACUCGCUUCUGUUCGCCGGCCGGACCUCGCCGCGACUCGGCCUGCUCGGGGCUCGGGUCCCGCGGACAGCUGGACCAGCUCAUGGCAGCCGCCCUCCCGACCACUCCACUCGACUCCUACGCAGUCCUGGCGCAUGAAGCAGUGCAUCAACGCGCCCUCGCCGCUGAGGGCCUCGCCCGCCCGCGCCUAGGUGUCUAGGAAGUCGCCGUUGGAGGACCGCGUCGGCUACGAGUGCAACAACCCCACUGGUGUCGCGGCCUGACGACCAGCGGAAUCCCAGGACGUCCGCGACGCACUGUUUCAGCUGGUUUGCUGUGAUACGUGAAACGAAACGUUUGCUUCUCCAGUUGCUUUUCUAGUUCCAGGCCAUAGUUCCAGUUCCGCUCCGGUCAGCAGGAGGUCACCGCGGUCGGCGAGGACGCAAAGGCACCAGGACUCCAGGACCAUCCCAACGCCCGCCAUGGAGGUCUCUCUUUCACCAUGAACGCUGCUUUAGCUGUCUUCCUUGCAAGCAACCGGAACAAUUACAACCAAUGCGCAGGGUGAGCGGUAGCACCACUGGAGGCGUAUGAUGAGAAGCUGUUCGACUGGCGUGGGGCUGCGAAAAGAUCGCAUCUCAACAUUGCUGUUCAACCAGAUGGAAGUUGUCAAAUUUCAUGGCAGGACAAGAGAAUCAUUUCACAUUAUAAUAUAUUUAAUUGUAUCAUACUGUCAUUCAUCUCUGACUUCUUGACUUUGUCUUAGAUUGUAUUAUAGAGCAUGGUUUUUGUUAUCUUGGAUCAUAGUGGAGAUCAUGGUAUCUGUCUUUGGAUCGUAGUAUAGAAUGGUGUUUGUUGUAUUGGCUGGUGUAUUGGUUUUAAAAUUUUGGUUGGAUUUUGCGGGACUUUCUACUUGUAAUUUAUCUUGGUUCUAGAAAAAAAUCUAAUCUCUUCGAACUUGACACUUCUAUUUUCUUUACAUCAAAACCAACUGCACACUCCUGUAUCAUACAUCAUUUCAUAAAGAGCAAAAUUGUAAAAUUUAUUACUGUUAACAAUGUUGAGCAUUUUUCCAAUCCAUUCAGUACUUCCUAUUUAUUUUAAAUAUGUAGUGAUAUCCUAUUGUCUUCUAUGAAUUCAGUUCUCACUGUUCAGUCAACCUAUGGAUCUAUUAGCUAUUUAUUAAGAAUUUUUUACAAUGACCUUUUCAAAUUAGUCUGUCUGCAAAUUGAUGGCUGUGUUUUGCUAAUCAAAUGUGAAGGAAGUUUAUAUGUAUCUUUUCAUGAAAUUAUGAAGAGUCCUCUUGGAUACUUCAAAUUUAUUCAAUAGCAUAAAAGUUCAGAUUAUUCUAAAUCUUUUAUGUAGACCCCCAUCAGGGUGUUCAGCACAUGUAGCAGAGUUGAGCAUAUAGAGCACAUUACUGGUGCAUCCCAAAUGCACCUUCAAUGAACUUGAUACUACCAUUUUCUGGACAAAUAAAACAACUGCGCUCACUUGUAUUAUACAGCAUUUAGUAAGACCAGAGAGUAAAACCGUAAAAUGUAACUGUAAAUAGUGUUCGAGUGACUAUUUUUCAUUGAUCAAUCAUGUGCUUGUAUGAAAUUCUUUCAUUGUUAUUGGUUGUUCAGCAAUACUCAAAUGAACUGUUACUUCCUAUUAAGCAAUCUGUGCAAAUUGUUUGACCAUUUUUUAAGUUUGAUCUUACUCUAGUUCAUGUUUUGUAACUGAAAUUGACUAACUAUACUGUUAACAUUCUGUCUUGUGUGGAAUUGUGUGCUCCUCGUCAACCUGUAAGCAAUUUUUUGAUAUUUUGCAUUUGAGGCAAGGGACUCAACAAACUAGUUGGUACUGAGUGUGAAUGUAUAUAUCCUAUGAUAGUGUCUUGGAAAUAUAAUUUAUUGGAAAUGCGA